rnacentral:ncRNA from 1 species
AGAGCGGAGUGAUAAUAUUGAACUUGGUUAGUUAUAUUCGAUGUCAGACUUCACUUUCCGAAUUUGUUCUAAACUAUCCCAGAAGAAUACCAUUCUUGGUCCUCGGAGAGUGCUCAUCUAUCUUACACGAAAAGAAAUGGGUAAUCCGCAGCCAAGCGCCCUUUAUAUAUAAUAUACGAAAGGGUGUGCAGUUCAACGACUAGACGGGAAUUGGCGCAAGUUUGCGCUUAAGGUAUAGUCUAACCUUUGAUGAAAAUCAUUA